AUUUAUAUAGUUUAUUUAAAACAUUACAUUUUCAUUGUAAAAAUAAAAUUAAUUAUUUUUAUAAAUA
rnacentral:tRNA from 1 species